rfam:Lingula anatina scaffold423, whole genome shotgun sequence.
GGUUCUGUAGUGUAGUGGUAAUCACGUCUGCUUUACACGCAGAAGGUCCCAGGUUCGAAACCUGGCAGAACCA